rnacentral:rRNA from 1 species
UACGGAGGGAGCUAGCGUUGUUCGGAAUUACUGGGCGUAAAGCGCGCGUAGGCGGCUUUGUAAGUUAGAGGUGAAAGCCCGGAGCUCAACUCCGGAACUGCCUUUAAGACUGCAUCGCUUGAAUCCAGGAGAGGUGAGUGGAAUUCCGAGUGUAGAGGUGAAAUUCGUAGAUAUUCGGAGGAACACCAGUGGCGAAGGCGGCUCACUGGUCCAUUACUGACGCUGAGGUGCGAAAGCGUGGGGAGCAAACAGG